ACGGGUGAGUAACGCGUGGGAACAUACCCUCCGGUUCGGAAUAGCUCAGGGAAACUUGGAUUAAUACCGGAUACGGCCUAGCGGCGAAAGAUUCAUCGCCGGAGGAUUGGCCCGCGUCUGAUUAGCUAGUUGGUGGGGUAAUGGCCCACCAAGGCGACGAUCAGUAGCUGGUCUGAGAGGAUGAUCAGCCACACUGGGACUGAGACACGGCCCAGACUCCUACGGGAGGCAGCAGUGGGGAAUAUUGGACAAUGGGCGAAAGCCUGAUCCAGCAAUGCCGCGUGAGUGAGGAAGGCCUUAGGGUUGUAAAGCUCUUUCGGCGGGGGCGAUGAUGACGGUACCCGCAGAAGAAGCCCCGGCUAACUUCGUGCCAGCAGCCGCGG
rnacentral:rRNA from 1 species